rnacentral:ncRNA from 3 species
CAGCGCACUCCGGGGUCGGUGUAAUUCCGAACCGGCGGUAACAGUCCGCGACCCGUCCGCAUCCAGUGGGCGGUUGACCAGGUGGAAUUCCUGGACCGACGGUGAAAGUCCGGAUGGGAGGCAGUGCGCGG